UUUCAGCAAAUAUCUCAAAGAGUGCUCGUAUUUGCUCAGAUCAUUUUUCUGAAAAAUCUUUUGAUACCAAUGGGUUACUAACGCGACUAAAACCAAAUGAAUUACCAUUGAAAGUACAAAAUGUAGAAGCUUCUACAUUUUGUACUUUCAGUGGCAAUGCAUUUGAUCUUCCAUUAAUGGUAAAAAAAGAGAAAGAAGAUUUUGUUGCAUAUACACAACCGUCAGCAUCAGAUGAACAAUCAUCGACUUCAGAUAAACAAACAAUGACAUCAAUACCACAUACAGCAGAAAAAGCAACGAUGGUAUCAUUGAAAAGAAUUUAUAAUUCUCCAGAAAAAUGUCGACUAAGAAAUCUAUUAAAAUACCAAAAAAAAGAAUACACGAAAAAAAUACGAAACUUGCAACAGAGAAUACGUCGAUGCAAUGACCAACUUUUGACAUUAAAAAACAUUUUGAAUAAUCUACGACAAAAACGCUUAUAGAAACAGAGCAGAGUGAAAUGCUACUUAGCCUAGAUCUGAAAUGACAAAGAGCAGCAAUAUACGUGGAAAUUGCGAGUUUACAAAAUUAGGAAAUUCAAGUGUUUGGCGUCUCUGUUUCUUAAUCUUAACAAUAGGAUUGAGAAUCUCAACUACUUGACGAUACUUGACAUUCUUAUCCUCUUGCCCAAUACAUUGUAGAGGACUGAGAAUAUUGACAGUAUAUAGUCAAGCUUUUACUGAUCCAUCAAUCUGUGAUGAUGAUGACGCUUUAAGACUAUUUCUGACAGACUGAGAAAAAUGAAAACGGAAAGAAGAGCUUAUUAUGUAAAUCAUAAGAAGUGUACUAUACAUUGGAAGAAACUUCAAACUCAAGAUCAAGGGACUAAAAUGAAUGUAUAAAAUUUAUAAUUUGUAUGAUCAUAUAUCCACUUUGUACGCG